rnacentral:misc_RNA from 1 species
GAAAUGCGAUAAGUAGUGUGAAUUGCAGAAUUCAGUGAAUCAUCGAAUCUUUGAACGCACAUUGCGCCCCUUGGUAUUCCAUGGGGCAUGCCUGUUCGAGCGUCAUUUGUACCCUCAAGCUCUGCUUGGUGUUGGGUGUUUGUCCCCGUCUCCGCGCGUGGACUCGCCCCAAAGUGAUUGGCAGCCGGCGUACUGGUCCCGGAGCGCAGCACAUGUCGCGCAAACGAGUGCCUUGGUACGGCGGCGUCCAUAAGCCCCUCUCUCACGCUCUUGACCUCGGAUCAGGUAGAGAUACCCGCUGAACUUAGGC